UACGGAGGGUGCAAGCGUUAUCCGGAUUCACUGGGCUUAAAGGGUGCGUAGGUGGGCAAGUAAGUCAGUGGUGAAAUCUCCGGGCUUAACCCGAAAACUGCCAUUGAUACUAUUUGUCUUGAAUACUGUGGAGGUCAGCGGAAUAUGUCAUGUAGCGGUGAAAUGCUUAGAUAUGACAUAGACCACCGAUUGCGAAGGCAGCUUACUAAGCAAAUAUUGACGCUGAGGCACGAAAGCGUGGGGAUCAAACAGG
rnacentral:rRNA from 1 species